GAUGAACGCUGGCGGCGUGCCUAAUACAUGCAAGUCGAGCGAACAGACGAGGAGCUUGCUCCUCUGACGUUAGCGGCGGACGGGUGAGUAACACGUGGAUAACCUACCUAUAAGACUGGGAUAACUUCGGGAAACCGGAGCUAAUACCGGAUAACAUGUUGAACCGCAUGGUUCAACAGUGAAAGACGGUUUUGCUGUCACUUAUAGAUGGAUCCGCGUCGCAUUAGCUAGUUGGUAAGGUAACGGCUUACCAAGGCAACGAUGCGUAGCCGACCUGAGAGGGGGAUUGGCCACACUGGAACUGAGACACGGUCCAGACUCCUACGGGGGGCAGCAGUAGGGAAUCUUCCGCAAUGGGCGAAAGCCUGACGGAGCAACGCCGCGUGAGUGAAGAAGGUCUUCGGAUCGUAAAACUCUGUUAUUAGGGAAGAACAAAUGUGUAAGUAACUAUGCACGUCUUGACGGUACCUAAUCAGAAAGCCACGGCUAACUACGUG
rnacentral:rRNA from 1 species